AGGAAACAACCUGCCACUCGUUCAACAGGUCUUAGGAGCACAGUGAGAGGCUGUGUGUGGAGAAUAAAAACAGGCCUGAUAGUCACACCGCAGCGGGCCAUGGUCAGGAUUCAGUGAGCUCACCAGGCCUGGCUCUGGCUGGAGCUCCAGAGCAGUGGCUUCUGUGACAAAGAACAAAGCCCCCGCGCAGCAGGGCGUUGGUAAUUAAAUCCUUUGUGCGCGAGCCGUCGCACCCCGCCCCUGCUGCUCUGUGUAUUAAUUUCCCUGCACGGACAAGGGUUUCUGGACCUCGGCUGCCGGCGCCCUCGCCCUCGGACUCCCCAGCUCGGCUCCCUUGCUCUCCUGGCACCUGGACGGUGAGCGCAAUAGUAACAAUCUUAGAGCAAACUCAAGAACAG
ensembl:lncRNA